ACGAAUGUGUACAUCUCCAGCAAAAUUUGUCGUAACUUCCUUUAAUGCUCGUUCAGGGAAGAGGAGAACAACGAAAACCGCGACGCAGAAGAAAGGGCCACCGUGAGAGAAAAGGUUUGCGGGAUACUUCUCCCUUAAAACGAGUAAGUAAAUUGUUUCUACUAUUUGCAAAUGAGUUUUCAAAGCGGCGUUUCGCUACGUCUUGAGAAGAAUUUGUAUAGGAGUGCAUAUAAAUCGGCGGUAUUGCGCUUAGCCAUGACUUUAGAAUUGUUGGCUUCAGGAGAUUACCAAUGGCUGGCUUGCAACGACCAUACCGUAAAUGUUGCACAAAACACGUUAUAGACUUGCAUCAGAGGUGUUACAAGAGUUGGACACUAAAUUUUGCGAAUGGAUCCAAGGGAUCGUAAACGUGGAUACGAAAGUAUACUUUUACCAGAAAUUUUGAUAUUGCAGCCUGUAAAUAAUUAAACUUUUUGUGUUACAAUGAACGAUCCUUAUAAUAUAUUUACUAUUUAUUACACUAACUGGAUGUAUUGAAGGAACGCAUAUAUGCUUUUUAAAGUCAGCGGAAAACGAAAUAAUUUUCGUAAAUCGGAAAGGAAUGUAAUUUGUGACCACGAAAUAAAAAUUAGCGCAUAUAUGGACGCACUCUGGUGAAAGAGCUUACAUAGAAAACCAUUGGAAAGCUCCAAAAAGCUACGUCCUGUUUUCUUUUUUGUGAAUGCUCCCUAGAGCCUUGACUAACAAUACCUUUCUGAAGUUCGGCGGAACCUCUAAAAAAAAUACAACGACAUCCAUUGCAAGGCGAAGAACGUUGUGGGAAAAUGCAUUGACGUAUAUAAAAGAAGAGCAAAAGAGGUGCUGCAGUCCAAUGAAUCUGGGAAGAAUCGCAAAUGUUGUGCAGUAUCGCAAAAACGUUUACCACUAAAAAAUGAGAGGAAAUCAGUUAAAUUGUCCAAAACUGCAAGCAGCCUAUGAAAAUAAAGGUGUUGAUAUUUCUGUAGAGGCACUACAAUU